rnacentral:rRNA from 1 species
CCUACGGGGUGCUGCGGUGAGGAAUAUUGGUCAAUGGACGAGAGUCUGAACCAGCCAAGUAGCGUGAAGGAUGACUGCCCUAUGGGUUGUAAACUUCUUUUAUAAAGGAAUAAAACGAGGCACGUGUGCCUUUUUGCAUGUACUUUAUGAAUAAGGAUCGGCUAACUCCGUGCCAGCAGCCGCGGUAAUACGGAGGAUCCGCGCGUUAUCCGGAUUUAUUGGGUUUAAAGGGAGCGUAGAUGGGUUGUUAAGUCAGUUGUGAAAGUUUGCGGCUCAACCGUAAAAUUGCAAUUGAUACUGGCAGUCGUGAGUACAGUUGAGGUAGGCGGAAUUCGUGGUGUAGCGGUGAAAUGCUUAGAUAUCACGAAGAACCCCGAUUGCGAAGGCAGCUUACUAAACUGUGACUGACAUUGAUGCUCGAAAGUGUGGGUAUCAAACAGGAUUAGAUACCCCAGUAGUC